AGCAGCAUGGUGUAAUGUGCACACGGGAUUUCGUUAGUCCGCGAUUUAGAUUUACUUACUAAUCCCGAGGUCCUUGUUCGAAUCAAGGUGCUGCUC